rfam:Oryza nivara chromosome 8, whole genome shotgun sequence.
AAUAAGUUUAUUUAUAGGUUAUUAUAUCUAACAUUUGACCGUCUGUUUUAUUUAAUUUUUUUUAUUAUUAGUAUUUUUAUUGUGAAAUGGUAAAACAUGAAUAAUAUUUUGUGUGUGACUUAAGUUUUUAAAAUAGAAUGGACGAUCAAGCGUCGGACAUAUAAAACCCACAAAUAAACUUAUU